UCCUACGGGAGGCAGCAGUGGGGAAUAUUGCACAAUGGGCGCAAGCCUGAUGCAGCAACGCCGCGUGAGGGACGAAGGCCUUCGGGUUGUAAACCUCUUUUAGUAGGGAAGAAGCGACUGGGUUUUCCUGGGAGUGACGGUACCUGCAGAAAAAGCACCGGCUAACUACGUGCCAGCAGCCGCGGUAAUACGUAGGGUGCAAGCGUUGUCCGGAAUUAUUGGGCGUAAAGAGCUCGUAGGCGGUUUGUCGCGUCUGCUGUGAAAACCCGAGGCUCAACCUCGGGCCUGCAGUGGGUACGGGCAGACUAGAGUGCGGUAGGGGAGAUUGGAAUUCCUGGUGUAGCGGUGGAAUGCGCAGAUAUCAGGAGGAACACCAAUGGCGAAGGCAGAUCUCUGGGCCGUAACUGACGCUGAGGAGCGAAAGCAUGGGGAGCGAACAGGAUUAGAUACCCUGGUAGUCCAUGCCGUAAACGUUGGGAACUAGAUGUGGGGACCAUUCCACGGUCUCCGUGUCGCAGCUAACGCAUUAAGUUCCCCGCCUGGGGAGUACGGCCGCAAGGCUAAAACUCAAAGGAAUUGACGGGGGCCCGCACAAGCGGCGGAGCAUGCGGAUUAAUUCGAUGCAGCGCGAAGAACCUUACCAAGGCUUGACAUAUACCGGAAACGGCUGGAAACAGUCGCCCCGCAAGGUCGGUAUACAGGUGGUGCAUGGUUGUCGUCAGCUCGUGUCGUGAGAUGUUGGGUUAAGUCCCGCAACGAGCGCAACCCUCGUCCUAUGUUGCCAGCACGUAAUGGUGGGAACUCAUGGGAUACUGCCGGGGUCAACUCGGAGGAAGGUGGGGAUGACGUCAAAUCAUCAUGCCCCUUAUGUCUUGGGCUUCACGCAUGCUACAAUGGCCGGUACAAAGGGCUGCGAUACCGCAAGGUGGAGCGAAUCCCAAAAAGCCGGUCUCAGUUCGGAUUGAGGUCUGCAACUCGACCUCAUGAAGUCGGAGUCGCUAGUAAUCGCAGAUCAGCAACGCUGCGGUGAAUACGUUCCCGGGCCUUGUACACACCGC
rnacentral:rRNA from 1 species